UGCUUCAUCUAUAGAUCAUAAUGUUUUGUUAAAAAUAGGUGUUUAAUCGUAUUGAUUUUAUUUGAAUUUACACUUCUAAUAAAUGUUCAUCCUUACAUAUUGGUGGCUGUGCUAUGGAAAUUCACCCAUCCUCUCUUCUUCCUGUGCAUUGCUGUUCAUUCUCAUCAUCAUCAUUGUUCCUUUAUGAUUAGUUGUUGUGCUUUGUUUAAACUUUUGCUUUGAAUGGGAAAUGGCCUAAUAUGAUACAUCAUUGCAUGGUAUGAGCCUAGCUUGUGCCAAGUCCUUUCAAAUGUUCAUUUUCUCCUAUUUGAAUGGGUGCAUGUAUGAGUUGUUCUUAUAUCAGUUUUGAUCCAGGAGUAUGAUAUAGCAAAUGAUAAUUACAAGAAUCCAAGGGAGCGAUUGGCUCGUCAGAAACAGAAUUUACGACGUCGUCUGGGUUAGUAAUUGACACACUUUGUUGUUCUAUAUUUAUUGAUAUAUUUGCGGACUUUUAUGCAUUGGGAUACUGAGUUUAUAUGUUGGGGUUCAGAUGGCUGAGUGUUAAGUGCUCCCCAGGGGUUGUGGGGCGAUUCAGUAAGAAAAUUUGCUCUCCAAUGUGUUUGAAUAAGAUGAUUGGUUUAGACUAUUUUCUUUCUAGUCCACAAUUGCCUAGAGAGAUGCAUUUUUUGUUUUGAUUUCUUAAAUAGAAUGUGGUGUGUGUCUAGCCCAAGUAGGGGAGAGAGUCAUAGAACAGGGGGGUGGGGAUGAUUAUCAUGGUCUGAGGCGGAGACUAGGCAUUGAAACUAUUGGUAGAGAGAAAUCUUCCAUCUUCUUGUUAUUUUUGAUUUACUGAUUUUUCCUUGUGAUGUUUAUUCUAUACUUUUCAUGUCAUUGUGGAAAUAUUGGUAACUGAUUUGAUUUGAUGAUUUUUAAUGAAUUCUAUGGAAAACUAGCUGACUGAAUACCUUUUAGGUUUUAUUCUUGAAUUUUUCUUUCUUUGUUGGUGAUAACAUUAAUCAUUUAUCUUUUUCUGUCAAUUGGUUGGAUAAACAUGGACUAAUGGUUGUGUAGUUUUAUAAUAUAAUUGUCCUGGCUUUUCUGCUAUGCGGAUUUUAGCUUGACAUUGUGCAUUGUUGGAUUAAUUUUAUUUAUUUUGGUGGCAAAACCAUACCAUAGGAGUUUGGUGUGAACUUUGAUCUUACAAUGAUCUGCUUAUGAGGUUUUAAAAUCCAGCUGCUCCAUCAGCUCUUAAAAAGGCUUAGCUGGUUUUGGUGAAUAUUGAUUGCAUUCAGGAGACUAAAUGGGU
rnacentral:misc_RNA from 1 species